rnacentral:pre_miRNA from 1 species
GAAGCCAUAGGGAGGGAUUCCAAUCCAGCCUUAGGAAAAGAAACCUGCUACGGGAAUCUUGGAGAUUGGCCACUAUCCUGAUGACUUA